rnacentral:rRNA from 1 species
AUUGAACGCUGGCGGCAGGCCUAACACAUGCAAGUCGAGCGGAUGACGGGAGCUUGCUCCUGGAUUCAGCGGCGGACGGGUGAGUAAUGCCUAGGAAUCUGCCUGGUAGUGGGGGACAACGUUUCGAAGGGAACGCUAAUACCGCAUACGUCCUACGGGAGAAAGCAGGGGACCUUCGGGCCUUGCGCUAUCAGAUGAGCCUAGGUCGGAUUAGCUAGUUGGUGAGGUAAUGGCUCACCAAGGCGACGAUCCGUAACUGGCCUGAGAGGAUGAUCAGGCACACUGGAACUGAGACACGGUCAAGACUCCUACGGGAGGCAGCAGUGGGGAAUAUUGGACAAUGGGCGAAAGCCUGAUCCAGCCAUGCCGCGUGUGUGAAGAAGGUCUUCGGAUUGUAAAGCACUUUAAGUUGGGAGGAAGGGCAGUAAGCGAAUACCUUGCUGUUUUGACGUUACCGACAGAAUAAGCACCGGCUAACUCUGUGCCAGCCGCCGCUGUAAUAC